rnacentral:lncRNA from 1 species
CUCAUAGUGGCAGCCUCAACCCACUGCUUCCCAUGCCCAGGAGCCUCAUUUCAUUCCUACCUGGCUCUGGCUGCCUUGCUCUGGCAGUGUUGCAGGAGAACUGCUCUACAGCUGUGUCUCUGGGCCCACCUCCUUCUGCUCAUGGCAGGUUGAUGACUUGCUGUGUUGAGGGCUGCCAGUGGACGAUGUUAUCAACCUUGGCUUUACCAGUGCCCCAGUGGAACUGCACCGCCAAGGAAGGCCUGACUCAGCAGUCUCAGUGGGUCACAAGCACGGCUGAUGGGUGGAUUUUGCGAGUACUCAUUGCAUGACCACCUGCUCUGAAGGUGUGUCACAGCCACACAGACACAGCAGAUUCAUGGGAAGAGUGCGCUGAGAGAGACGUCUAGAUGAGGAGAAAGAAUAGUUUGAUGAUGAGCUAUUUGAGAUGAUUUUGCCUAAGUCAUCCUUCCUGAGCCUCCACUCCAGGACCAUGGCAGCACAAAACUGACUGUCGCUUAGCAGAAAAAAACUACUGCGAGUCAGAAGAGUAGAAAACCAGCUGAGCUGUAUGUGGCCUGCCUUUAUUCCCCUUGAAGCCUUAGGAAUAGCUGAAGGGGCCUUAGGAAUAGCUGAAGCUUGGGAACCUCUGAAGGCUGUGAAGAGAUGACCUGGAAGACAUAAUGAGAACAGAAGGGACUGCAGCCUUUGGGAAACAGUAUGUGUGGGACUUACUAGCAUGAAGCUGUCUCAACAGAUGCCAAAGUUAUACUAGGUUUUGCAAACCUCUGCUGAUCCCUGUACAUUCGUGCACAGCACAUAGUCUCAGUUGUUGAAAAGCAAUUUUUGCACUAGCUCAUAACGCAUAUUGGAAAGACAAAUGGGGACUGAUCAUUGCAUUCACAAAUAUAUGUGUAUAGACUGCUGGAGGGACUGUUGCUCCCUAGAACCAUUGAGAGGCGUGUAGAAAAACAUAAAUCGUGUACCAACAAAUGUAGAGAAAGGGGGAGAAAACCCAUGUGAUAUUUUAUUGUAGUACUGAGCCACAUUUCCGCAGCAGAGUUCCCUCUUUCAGCUUAAACGGCCAUUACUAUAUUACACUGCAAACUCUAGAGAAUUUCAAGGGAAAAUAAAGGGGCAUUGUCAUCGUAUUGUCCUUCA